rnacentral:rRNA from 1 species
GAUGAACGCUGGCGGCGUGCCUAAUACAUGCAAGUCGAGCGAACAGACGAGGAGCUUGCUCCUCUGACGUUAGCGGCGGACGGGUGAGUAACACGUGGAUAACCUACCUAUAAGACUGGGAUAACUUCGGGAAACCGGAGCUAAUACCGGAUAACAUGUUGAGCCGCAUGGUUCAACAGUGAAAGACGGUCUUGCUGUCACUUAUAGAUGGAUCCGCGCCGCAUUAGCUAGUUGGUAAGGUAACGGCUUACCAAGGCAACGAUGCGUAGCCGACCUGAGAGGGUGAUCGGCCACACUGGAACUGAGACACGGUCCAGACUCCUACGGGAGGCAGCAGUAGGGAAUCUUCCGCAAUGGGUGAAAGCCUGACGGAGCAACGCCGCGUGAGUGAAGAAGGUCUUCGGAUCGUAAAACUCUGUUAUUAGGGAAGAACAAAUGUGUAAGUAACUAUGCACGUCUUGACGGUACCUAAUCAGAAAGCCACGGCUAACUACGUG